rnacentral:misc_RNA from 1 species
CCAAGCCUUCUGGCGAUCUCUUAAAAUAAAGCUUUCCAUGUUUUUAAUAACCAUGGCUUUUAGACACCUCUUUAAAUUCUUAAUGAAUAUUAAAGAUCAGGGGUUAAAAAAAAGAGCUUUAACAAAGAAAGCAACUUAAAAAAACUUUCCAUUGAUAUAAGAUGAUACCGGGGAAGGUUUUCCGGUUUGUUCCGGAGGGCUUGUAGCUCAGUUGGUUAGAGCGCGCGCUUGAUAAGCGUGAGGUCGGAGGUUCAAGUCCUCCCAGGCCCACCAAUUACUCUAUCAAUCUAUAAGCGCUUGUGAAAUUUACUCAUAGGGAAUGUCCCUUAUCAGUUUUUAAGAAAUUUACUUUUGCAAAAUUAUGCUCUCUCUUUGGUUUUAAAAUCCGAAUUUUUAAAAACUAAAGUUAAAGUGGUCUCAAGAUAAAACGGUGUUUUGAGACAAAGUGCAAAAAAUAACGAUUUAAGUGAUAAAUAGCGGUUUAAGUGAACUUAAAUUUGAGCGUUUCAAGUGCAUUAUGUUUUUUUAGGGGCCGUAGCUCAGCUGGGAGAGCACCUGCUUUGCA